rnacentral:rRNA from 1 species
AAUACGACUCUCGGCAACGGAUAUCUCGGCUCUCGCAUUGAUGAAGAACGUAGCGAAAUGCGAUACUUGGUGUGAAUUGCAGAAUCCCGUGAACCAUCGAGUCUUUGAACGCAAGUUGCGCCCCAAGCCGUUAGGCCGAGGGCACGCCUGCCUGGGUGUCACGC